GCCAGCAGCCGCGGUAAUACAGAGGGUGCAAGCGUUAAUCGGAAUUACUGGGCGUAAAGGGAGCGUAGGUGGCUCGAUAAGUCAGAUGUGAAAUCCCCGGGCUCAACCUGGGAACUGCAUCUGAUACUGUUGAGCUAGAGUAUGUGAGGGGAAGGUAGAAUUCCAGGUGUAGCGGUGAAAUGCGUAGAGAUCUGGAGGAAUACCGAUGGCGAAGGCAGCCUUCUGGCAUAAUACUGACACUGAGGCUCGAAAGCGUGGGUAGCAAACAGGAUUAGAUACCCUGGUAGUCCACGCCGUAAACGAUGUCUACUAGUCGUUGGGUCCCUUGAGGACUUAGUGACGCAGCUAACGCAAUAAGUAGACCGCCUGGGGAGUACGGCCGCAAGGUUAAAACUCAAAUGAAUUGACGGGGGCCCGCACAAGCGGUGGAGCAUGUGGUUUAAUUCGAUGCAACGCGAAGAACCUUACCUGGUCUUGACAUAUCUAGAAUCCUGCAGAGAUGCGGGAGUGCCUUCGGGAAUUAGAAUACAGGUGCUGCAUGGCUGUCGUCAGCUCGUGUCGUGAGAUGUUGGGUUAAGUCCCGCAACGAGCGCAACCCUUGUCCUUAGUUACCAGCGGGUUAAGCCGGGAACUCUAAGGAUACUGCCAGUGACAAACUGGAGGAAGGCGGGGACGACGUCAAGUCAUCAUGGCCCUUACGACCAGGGCUACACACGUGCUACAAUGGUAGGUACAGAGGGCAGCUACACAGCGAUGUGAUGCGAAUCCCAAAAAGCCUAUCGUAGUCCAGAUUGGAGUCUGCAACUCGACUCCAUGAAGUAGGAAUCGCUAGUAAUC
rnacentral:rRNA from 1 species